GGUUAAGCGACUAAGCGUACACGGUGGAUGCCCUGGCAGUCAGAGGCGAUGAAGGACGUGCUAAUCUGCGAUAAGCGCCGGUAAGGUGAUAUGAACCGUUAUAACCGGCGAUUUCCGAAUGGGGAAACCCAGUGUGACUCGUCACACUAUCAUUAACUGAAUCCAUAGGUUAAUGAGGCGAACCGGGGGAACUGAAACAUCUAAGUACCCCGAGGAAAAGAAAUCAACCGAGAUUCCCCCAGUA
rnacentral:rRNA from 1 species